rnacentral:misc_RNA from 1 species
UCGUGAGGCUCCGGCCUCUUCGAGAGAAAAUCCUUGCCUUUUCGAGCACCUGUUUGUUUCCUCGGGGGCUUCGGCCCCCAAUGGGGACCCUUUAAACUCUUGUAAUAACCUGAAUUAAACGUCUGAAUAAACAAAUAAAUCA